rnacentral:rRNA from 1 species
AACGAACGCUGGCGGCGUGUUUAAGACAUGCAAGUCGCACGGGACUAUUUGAGUAGCAAUACAAGAAUAGUCUAGUGGCGCACGGGUGAGUAACACGUGAAUUACAUGCCCUGCAGAGGGGGAUAGCCCAGGGAAACUUGGAUUAAUACCCAAUGGUAUCGCGAGAUUAAAGGUGGCCGCAAGGCUGUCGCUGCAGGAUUGGUUCGCGCCCUAUCAGCUUGUUGGUGAGGUAACGGCUCACCAAGGCUACGACGGGUACCUGGUCUGAGAGGACGAUCAGGCACACUGGAACUGAGACACGGUCCAGACACCUACGGGUGGCAGCAGUCGAGAAUAAUUCACAAUGGGGGCAACCCUGAUGGUGCAGCGCCGCGUGGAGGAUGAAGGUCUUCGGAUUGUAAACUCCUGUCAUCCGGGAGUAAGACCUGGCGAUGAAUAGUCGACAGGGUUGAUAGUACCGGAAGAGGAAGGGACGGCUAACUUCGUGCCAGCCGCCGCUGUAA